rnacentral:lncRNA from 1 species
UAUUUAUCUACUUGCACUUUGAUGUGCUUUUGAACUGCUAGGUUUGGCAGGAGCUGGGACUGAGCAACAGGAGCUCACUCCGUUGCAGGGAUUUGAACUGCCAACCUUCUGAUCGGCAAGUCCUAGGCUCUGUGGUUUAACCCACAGCGCCACCCGCAUCCCUGCUGAGAGUUGUUAGGAGGCACCAAUUUCCCUCACAGAGCUACAAUUCCCAGAGUUCCUUGGGAGGAACGGUGGGUUGUUAAACCAUGACUGAUAACGAGAGCAUUUUAAAUGUGUGGUACAUAUGUGGCCUUAGAGGCAACAGUCAGGUUUUUCGGGAUUUUGCAUGGGGGUGGAGGCAUUGUGUAGACAUCUGGUUCUUCAUCUCAGCAACAUGUCUUGAGUCAGCUAUGUAAAUGCUUCUAAUUUAAGAAGCUGGUCCCUCGAAAAAAGAAAAAGCCACAGUAGGAUGACAUUUUGGUUGGCCCUAAUUCAAGGAGUGAUACUAUGGCCGGUUGUUGUUGUUUAGUCGGGUCACGAAGAGUCGGACACGGCUAAACAACAACGACACACCAUAGUGUUACUGUUUUUGUUGUUUUGUUGUUUAGUCAUGUCCAACUCUUCGUGACCUCAUGGACCAGAACACGCCAGGCACUUCUGUCUUCCACUGCCUUCCGUAGUUUGUGCAAACUCAUGCUGGUAGCUUCGAGAACACUGUCCAACCAUCUUGUCCUCUGUCAUCCCCUUCUCCUUGUGCCCUCCAUCUUUCCCAACAUCAGGAUCUUUUCAAGGGAGUCUUCUCUUCUCAUGAGGUGGCCAAAGUAUUGGAGCCUCAGCUUCAGGAUCUGUCCUUCCAGUGAGCACUCAGGGCUGAUUUCCUUCAGAAUGGAUCGGUUUGAUCUUCUUGCAGUCCAUGGGACUCUCAAGAGUCUCCUCCAGCACCAUAAUUCAAAAGUAUCAAUUCUUCAGCGAUCAGCCUUCUUUAUGAUCCAUCUCUCAUUCCAUACAUCACUACUGGGGAAACCAUAGCUUUAACUAUACGGACCUUUGUUGGCAAGGUGAUGUCUCUGCACUUUUACUAUAUUUUAUUUUAUUUAUACCCCACCCAUCUGGCUGGGUUUCCCCAGCCGCUCUGGGUGGCUUCCAGCAAAACAGAGAAAACAUAAUAAAACGUCAAACAUUACAAACUUCCCGAUUCAGGGCUGCCUUUGCAAGAGAAACAAAACCCUGCAACCAAACCACAGUGACUUGUUUCCCUGAAUCAAAAUAGAAGUACAGAACUGCAUGCCACAUUUGUAGAAGGAAAUGCAAAAAGCAGAACAAUUGUUGCAGUGUCUGGGAGCACAGAGCACCCACAACCAAUUGAUCACAGAUCUGUUUGGUGGUGCCCAGUGACUUGGAAUCUUGCACUCUCUGUUCCCUGAAAGACAAUGCUCCCUGCACAAUGCUCCCUUGGGCUUCUUUUCUCUUCUCCUGGGCCUGGGCAUUUUAAUUGCCUAUAUAGUUCAGAACUCGUUUCAAGCUUGGCCAACAAUGACAGCUCUUGGAGAUUUAGGGCGUUCUCUUUGUGUGGUGUGGCGGGAUGCCCCAUGGAAUGGAGUUUCCCCAGCAGCACUAUGCAGAUGUAAGAAUUCCUGAGAGUUCGCUUAUGGAUAGCAGGGUUUGAUAUUUUUCCGCACAAAGAUCUGACUGCGAAGAGUCAUAGGAGAGCGGAGCCAUGGAUCAAGUCAGAACUAGAGAACUAUGAAGGACCUAAUAAAAAAAUUCCUUCCAGUAGCACUUUAGAGGCCAACUAAGUUUGUUACAGUGGUACCUCGGGUUACAUACGCUUCAGGUUACAUACGCUUCAGGUUACAGACUCCGCUAACCUAGAAAUAGUGCUUCAGGUUAAGAACUUUGCUUCAGGAUGAGAACAGAAAUUGUGCUCUGGCGGCAGCAGGAGGCCUAAUUAGCUAAAGUGGUGCUUCAGGUUAAGAACAGUUUCAGGUUAAGUACGGACCUCCGAAAUAAUUUAAGUACUUAACCCGAGGUACCACUGUAUUGGUGUGAGCUUUCGUGUGCAUGCACACUUCUUCAGAAACACGAAAGCUCAUACUAAUAACAAACUUACUUGGUCUCUAAGGUGCUACUGGAAGGAUUUUAUUUAUUUUGCUUCGACUACUGCAGGCUAACACGGCUACCUACCUAUAACUAUGAAGGACCUGUAACUUUAUAAAUGUAUUGUGGCAUAAGAUUGUCAGUUGCACAAAGUGUGGUCUUCAAUAGCCUUCUCUCACACACCCACACCCCGCUGUAAAUAAUAUAGUUUGUCCCAUGAAGCUUUAUUAUCACAUAUCUGUACUCCACCAUUUUCCCUGACGGAGACUCAAGAAAAGGCUAAGUAGUAAAUCCUACACAAAUCCAAAGCAGAGUCCCAGAUUUCUAAUGCCAUGCAGCCUGCAGUCACUACUUUUUAAACUGACGUACAGAAAUCGACACCAUUUCAUUUCCUUUGAACUGUUUUGGAUGCUAGCCAUGUGUGUACAUUCUUCUGGUUCAAAAAAAGGUGUUUUCAAGGUGCUUGUUCUAUGGCAUGUUGCUUUAUGGAACCAUUUGUGCAAUACGUUUAAUAAACUUUUGCACAUUUCUUGUUCAGACAGGCGAGCCAGAGGUAGAGCAGGCUCUCAUGAUUAGAUGAAUGAGUACAUCAGAGACAAAAGGCGACUUUUCAGCAAUUUGAUGAUGGCAUCAGGAGAUAAUGUAAUUACAAGCAAUGUUUUGCUUUGGCUACUACAUAACGUUUGUGUGUGAGAAAACGAGCAAAGGCUUUGCAUAUUUUUUGACUAGUGCAUCCAGUGAUCUAACCCUUCCAAAUCCUUUAAAAAGAAGGAAAGAAAGAAAGAAACUUGGAAGGGGGGGAUUAAGAGUGCAAUUCACAUUUCUUUCCUCCUUUCAAUAUCACUUGCUUUUACCCACCAAGUGAAUUCAAAAAGGUUUGCAAAAACUGUGCCACAUCAUAACAGUAAAAAAAAAAAAAAAGAUUGUGUUUUUAUUUCAUAAAAUUUGUAUACCGCUUGAUUGUAAAAAAAAAAAA